GACGAACGCUGGCGGCGUGCCUAAUACAUGCAAGUAGAACGCUGAAGGAGGAGCUUGCUUCUCUGGAUGAGUUGCGAACGGGUGAGUAACGCGUAGGUAACCUGCCUGGUAGCGGGGGAUAACUAUUGGAAACGAUAGCUAAUACCGCAUAAUAGUAGAUGUCGCAUGACAUUUGCUUAAAAGGUGCAAUUGCAUCACUACCAGAUGGACCUGCGUUGUAUUAGCUAGUUGGUGAGGUAACGGCUCACCAAGGCAACGAUACAUAGCCGACCUGAGAGGGGGAUCGGCCACACUGGGACUGAGACACGGCCCAGACUCCUACGGGAGGCAGCAGUAGGGAAUCUUCGGCAAUGGACGGAAGUCUGACCGAGCAACGCCGCGUGAGUGAAGAAGGUUUUCGGAUCGUAAAGCUCUGUUGUAAGGGAAGAACGAGUGUGAGAGUGGAAAGUUCACACUGGGACGGUAUCUUACCAGAAAGGGACGGCUAACUACGU
rnacentral:rRNA from 1 species